rnacentral:rRNA from 1 species
GACAGAGGUGCCAAGCGUUAGGCGGAAUCACUGGGCUUAAAGCGUGUGUAGGCGGAUGCCUAAGUACCUUGUGAAAUCCCACGGCUCACCCGUGGAACUGCUGGGUAUACUGGGUGUCUUGAGCCAACUAGGGGUCGCCGGAACAAGUGGUGGAGCGGUGAAAUGCGUAGAUAUCGUAAGGAAGACCAGUGGCGAAGGCGAAUCUCUGGACAGUUACUGACACUGAGGCACGAAGGCCAGGGGAGCAAACGGG